GGGGACGUAACAAAGCGACCCAGGAAUGCUUGGGCGUGCCUCCACCCACGCCGGCGUCGGCGGGCGUAUUUCGCCUCACAGUAGGUCGCCGCGACCCGUUGCUUUUGGGGACGUCGAAGGCCCGGACGGAUUGGUACCCUACCGGCUGGGGAUGCGGCUUCGGCUUCUCCUCUUGUCCGGUGGGCGAAACCGCCGGUGUCCUGGCUGCCCUGCGACGGUCGUAGAGACGAGCCCUCCCCUUCGGGGGGGCGGCUCUCGCGGCGUGCAAAAGGUCGGUGAUCCACCCGACCCGUCUUGAAACACGGACCAAGGAGUCUAACAUGUGUGCGAGUCAGUGGGCGCACUAAACCCAGAGGCGUAAUGAAAGUGACACGGGUUCGGCUGUCGCCUCGUGUGGCAGCCGGACUCAGGGCCGAUCCCUCACCGGUUGCCCUCGCCUCUCUCCCGCGUCUCGGUAAGCCGGGUGAGCUAUUUUCCCCGGCCGCUGCUGCGGGGCUCGGGGGGAGGCGGGGUGCGAUGGUGUCUGUAAAAAAGAGCCUGCUGUUGCAGGGGGGCGCAGGCCCGGGACUUGCCAGGACGCCGCGAGACUGUCACUUUGCUGUGAGGCUCUCGGGCCGAUCAGCGGGUCAUGCGUGCAGUCGGCAAGUACCAUGAGCAGACAUGUUGGGACCCGAAAGAUGGUGAACUAUGCCUGGCCAGGAUGAAGCCAGAGGAAACUCUGGUGGAGG
rnacentral:rRNA from 1 species